CCUACGGGAGGCAGCAGUGGGGAAUAUUGCACAAUGGGCGCAAGCCUGAUGCAGCGACGCCGCGUGAGGGAUGGAGGCCUUCGGGUUGUAAACCUCUUUUAUCGGGGAGCAAGCGAGAGUGAGUUUACCCGUUGAAUAAGCACCGGCUAACUACGUGCCAGCAGCCGCGGUAAUACGUAGGGUGCAAGCGUUAUCCGGAAUUAUUGGGCGUAAAGGGCUCGUAGGCGGUUCGUCGCGUCCGGUGUGAAAGUCCAUCGCUUAACGGUGGAUCCGCGCCGGGUACGGGCGGGCUUGAGUGCGGUAGGGGAGACUGGAAUUCCCGGUGUAACGGUGGAAUGUGUAGAUAUCGGGAAGAACACCAAUGGCGAAGGCAGGUCUCUGGGCCGUCACUGACGCUGAGGAGCGAAAGCGUGGGGAGCGAACAGGAUUAGAUACCCUGGUAGUCCACGCCGUAAACGGUGGAUGCUGGAUGUGGGGACCAUUCCACGGUCUCCGUGUCGGAGCCAACGCGUUAAGCAUCCCGCCUGGGGAGUACGGCCGCAAGGCUAAAACUCAAAGAAAUUGACGGGGGCCCGCACAAGCGGCGGAGCAUGCGGAUUAAUUCGAUGCAACGCGAAGAACCUUACCUGGGCUUGACAUGUUCCCGACAGCCGUAGAGAUACGGUCUCCCUUCGGGGCGGGUUCACAGGUGGUGCAUGGUCGUCGUCAGCUCGUGUCGUGAGAUGUUGGGUUAAGUCCCGCAACGAGCGCAACCCUCGCCCCGUGUUGCCAGCGGAUUAUGCCGGGAACUCACGGGGGACCGCCGGGGUUAACUCGGAGGAAGGUGGGGAUGACGUCAGAUCAUCAUGCCCCUUACGUCCAGGGCUUCACGCAUGCUACAAUGGCCGGUACAACGGGAUGCGACACUGUGAGGUGGAGCGGAUCCCUUAAAACCGGUCUCAGUUCGGAUUGGAGUCUGCAACCCGACUCCAUGAAGGCGGAGUCGCUAGUAAUCGCGGAUCAGCAACGCCGCGGUGAAUGCGUUCCCGGGCCUUGUACACACCGCCCGUCAAGUCAUGAAAGUGGGCAGCACCCGAAGCCGGUGGCCUAACCCCUUGUGGGAUGGAGCCGUCUAAGGUGAGGCUCGUGAUUGGGACUAAGUCGUAACAAGGUAGCCGUACCGGAAGGUGCGGCUG
rnacentral:rRNA from 1 species